rnacentral:tRNA from 1 species
GCCUGGUUAGCUCAGUUAGUAGAGCCCUCCACCAGUAAUGGAGAGGUCCCGGGUUCGAUACCCGGACCAGGCA